rnacentral:rRNA from 1 species
UUAGCUGUAAACGAUGGAUACUAGGUGUUGGGAGAGUAACUCUCUCAGUGCCGAAGCUAACGCGUUAAGUAUCCCACCUGGAGAGUACGAUCGCAAGGUUGAAACUCAAAGGAAUUGACG